rnacentral:piRNA from 1 species
UGCGCUCAGGAUGACAGUGGGGUGUCUGC